rnacentral:rRNA from 1 species
UACGUAGGGGGCAAGCGUUGUCCGGAUUUAUUGGGCGUAAAGCGCGUGUAGGCGGCCAGGUAGGUCGGUUGUGAAAAUUGGAGGCUCAACCUUCAGACGUCGAUCGAAACCAUCUGGCUAGAGUCCGGAAGAGGAGAAUGGAAUUCCUGGUGUAGCGGUGAAAUGCGUAGAUAUCAGGAGGAACACCGGUGGUGUAGACGGCUUUCUGGACCGUAACUGACGCUGAGACACGAAAGCGUGGGUAGCAAACAGG